rnacentral:rRNA from 1 species
CAAUAGCGUAUAUUUAAGUUGUUGCAGUUAAAAAGCUCGUAGUUGGAUUUCGGGUGGGACGCAGCGGUCUCGCAUUGCGUUUGUACUGCUGCAGCCCUCCUUCUUGCCGGGGGCGGCCUCUCGGACUUCACUGUCUGGGGGUCAGAAUCGGCGAUGUUACUUUGAGUAAAUUAGAGUGUUCAAAGCAAGCUUACGCUCUGAAUAUAAUAGCAGGGGAUAACACGACAGGACUCUGGCCUAUCGUGUUGGUCUAUAGGACCAGAGUAAUGAUUAAGAGGGACAGUCGGGGGCAUUCGUAUUCCGUUGUCAGAGGUGAAAUUCUUGGAUUUACGGAAGACGAACAUCUGCGAAAGCAUUUGCCAAGGAUGUUUNCAUUGA